AAGUCUCUAGUCCAAUGUAAGAUUGCUGAUUUCGACUCAGUAGAUUAUGGUUCGUACCCAUAGAGACCUA